GCCAAAGUAGCUCAGUGGAGAGCAUUUUAGACUGAUAUUCUAAAGAUCCCUGGUUCAAACCCAGGCUUUGGCG
rfam:Pelodiscus sinensis unplaced genomic scaffold scaffold4013, whole genome shotgun sequence.